rnacentral:tRNA from 1 species
AAAGUUUUAUUAUAAUUUAGUAUAACCUAUUGUCAAUGGGUCGGUUAAAACUUUA